UACGUAGGGCGCAAGCGUUAUCCGGAAUUAUUGGGCGUAAAGAGCUCGUAGGCGGUGUGUCGCGUCGGCCGUGAAAACCUGGGGCUUAACUCUGGGCGUGCGGUCGAUACGGGCAUCACUAGAGUUCGGCAGGGGAGACUGGAAUUCCUGGUGUAGCGGUGAAAUGCGCAGAUAUCAGGAGGAACACCGGUGGCGAAGGCGGGUCUCUGGGCCGAUACUGACGCUGAGGAGCGAAAGCAUGGGUAGCGAACAGG
rnacentral:rRNA from 1 species